rnacentral:rRNA from 1 species
UGGUUAGCGGCGGACGGGUGAGUAACACGUGGGCAACCUGCCCUGUAGACGGGGAUAACACCGAGAAAUCGGUGCUAAUACCGGAUAAUACGGAAUGUCGCAUGACGUUUCGUUGAAAGGCGGCGCAAGCUGUCGCUACAGGAUGGGCCCGCGGCGCAUUAGCUAGUUGGUGAGGUAACGGCUCACCAAGGCGACGAUGCGUAGCCGACCUGAGAGGGUGAUCGGCCACACUGGGACUGAGACACGGCCCAGACUCCUACGGGAGGCAGCAGUAGGGAAUCUUCCGCAAUGGACGAAAGUCUGACGGAGCAACGCCGCGUGAGUGAGGAAGGUCUUCGGAUCGUAAAACUCUGUUGUCAGGGAAGAACCGCCGGGAUGACCUCCCGGUCUGACGGUACCUGACGAGAAAGCCCCGGCUAACUACGUGCCAGCAGCCGCGGUAAUACGUAGGGGGCAAGCGUUGUCCGGAAUUAUUGGGCGUAAAGCGCGCGCAGGCGGCUUCUUAAGUCAGGUGUGAAGGCCCACGGCUCAACCGUGGAGGGCCAUCUGAAACUGGGGAGCUUGAGUGCAGGAGAGGAGAGCGGAAUUCCACGUGUAGCGGUGAAAUGCGUAGAGAUGUGGAGGAACACCAGUGGCGAAGGCGGCUCUCUGGCCUGUAACUGACGCUGAGGCGCGAAAGCGUGGGGAGCAAACAGGAUUAGAUACCCUGGUAGUCCACGCCGUAAACGAUGAGUGCUAGUGUUGGGGAGUCCACCUCCUCAG